CCCUUAGACACUCUAGGCGGCACGCGCGCUACACUGGGUGGAAGAACGUGUUACUGCCAUCGAAAGGUGGGGUGAAUCACGAAUUCUUGCCCGUGAAUGGGAUAGCUUGUUGCAAUUUUCGGACUUGAACUAGGAAUCCCUUGUAAGCAUGCUCAAGAAUAGCGUGUUGAAUACGUCCCUGCCGUUUGUACACACCGCCCGUCGUUUCUUCCGACUGAUACUCAUUGUGAGUUGCAAGGAUCCUUCAUUGGAGAAUUGCCGCGAAUGCUUUGUAUUGGAGGAAGAAAAAGUCGUAACA
rnacentral:rRNA from 1 species